rnacentral:misc_RNA from 1 species
CGCACCUUGCGCUCUUUGGUAUUCCGAAGAGCAUGCCUGUUUGAGUGUCAUGUUUUCUCUCAAUCCUGUCUGGUUGUUUAUCAGGCAUGGAUUGGAAUUGGAGGUCUGCUGGCUCUCGUAGUAAAGCUCCUCUAAAAUGCAGUAGUGUGGAUGUUUGCCGCAUGUUUACCGGUGUGAUAAUUGUCUACGCCGCAUGAACAGAGGUAAUAUAUAUAUCUAUGCUUCUAACCGUCUCUUGUGGACAAUAUACUUGACAUUUGACCUCAAAUCAGGUAGGAUUACCCGCUGAACUUAA